rnacentral:lncRNA from 1 species
UCCUGGGUGAGCAGGGUCUGGGCGACCUCAGACAUGACACUGAUGGCAUCCCCCGUGCGCUUCCGGUCGAUGAAGAUGACUCCUGCCAGCCAGCAGGCCAGCCCGGCAGAGCCAGCCCACAGUAGCUCGCGCUUGGCAAUGGGCACACAGCGGCCUGGCAGUACCUCCAUCAUCCCUUGGGCAGGCAGAUCGAGAGAGCUCUGGUGGUUGGAGACAACAACAUAGGGCUGCGAGGGAGGGAAGUGGUGAGCCCCUCGCACCUCCACUCGGAUCCCGUACAGGUAUUUGAUGUGGAGCAGCAUUAGACGCAAGAUC